UUGGAGUCUGCAACUCGACUCCAUGAAGCUGGAUUCGCUAGUAAUCGCGCAUCAGCCAUGGCGCGGUGAAUACGUUCCCGGGCCUUGUACACACCGCCCGUCAAGCCAUGGGAGUCGGGAGUGCCUGAAGUUCGUGACCGUCACAGGAGCGACCUAAGGCAAGACCGAUGACUGGGGCUAAGUCGUAACAAGGUAAC
rnacentral:rRNA from 1 species